GAUGAACGCUGGCGGCGUGCCUAAUACAUGCAAAUAGAACGCUGAAGGAAGGAGCUUGCUCUUUCCGGAUGAGUUGCGAACGGGUGAGUAACGCGUAGGUAACCUGCCUGGUAGCGGGGGAUAACUAUUUGAAACGAUAGCUAAUACCGCAUAACAGUAGAUGUUGCAUGAUAUCUACUUAAAAGGUGCAAUUGCACCACUACCAGAUGGACCUGCGUUGUAUUAGCUAGUUGGUGAGGUAACGGCUCACCAAGGCGACGAUACAUAGCCGACCUGAGAGGGUGAUCGGCCACACUGGGACUGAGACACGGCCCAGACUCCUACGGGAGGCAGCAGUAGGGAAUCUUCGGCAAUGGACGGAAGUCUGACCGAGCAACGCCGCGUGAGUGAAGAAGGUUUUCGGAUCGUAAAGCUCUGUUGUAAGAGAAGAACGAGUGUGAGAGUGGAAAGUUCACACUGUGACGGUAUCUGACCAGAAAGGGACGGCUAACUACGUG
rnacentral:rRNA from 1 species